GCUUGCACAAGUAUUCACCCCAGUGACCGGUUGUGGUCAGAUGCUAGCUUCCUGCUUUAGCUUCUUGUGGUCAACUAAUAUCCUGUUAGUUUGCAGAGCGACUGUUAAUUGACGUCACCGACAAAGCUUGCUUUGAUGAGCUCAAUCAAGAGCUGAGGAAAGUGGACCAGAAAUGCAGCACCCAAAGCCCUGAAAGGAUCUUCCUGUAUCAGUACUGCGGAGCCAUCCUGCGUGCCUCAGAUGACCCUCAGCUAAUCCAGGUCCAACUCUUUACCCUCUUGGCCAUGUGCCAGCGAGGAGCCCUGGAGGCAAAGGUGAGAGGGCAGCCACUUGGUCUGUAGCCCGCCUUCUUCUGCCGCCUCUAAGCUGGAGAGAAGGAAAACAGUUCAGGAGGUUAUCGCAGAGGAGGACCCUCUAGAGGAUCUGUCUAUCUAUCUACCUAACCUCAAUCUAUCUAUUUAGGCAGACAUCCUUAAAAUUAACUUCUGUUCAAAAAUAUCCUACAGUACUUCAAACGUCAAAAUAUUUUGCUUCAUUUUGUAUUCGUAUGUCAAGUUUGACCGUUCUUCUCCUUUAGUUGCAAUCCUUAAUCUUUCUAGUUUUCUCUAGUGUUCAAUUUGUAAAAUCUUUUUAUUUUUUUUAAAGAAUUUAAAGAAACAAUAGCAUUUUCCCAUAGGAAGGCUUCUUUGUAAUUAAUUCCAAAUUAUUAUUUAAAAUUUAUCUGGACCCUUAAUCCAUUUGUAACUUCCUAAAAUCAGUCACCAUUGUUGUUUACUCCAGAAAAAAAAGUUCUUAGACUUGUAUUUAAAUUUAUUUCACUGAGGAUUGAAUGAAACUUACCUGGUGCUGUAAAAUCUGUUAACCCAAAAGUUCCUAAGAGCUGAAAAGCAGUUAAUAAAUUUUCAAAAGUAAUUAGAAAAGGUAGUUUAUGAACCCAGGGUCCUUUUAAACAUGCCGAUCAAAGAUGUCUCCCAGAGCCGUAAACCUGCAGGAGAUCACCGUCUUGGGCUCCCUUCGUGGAGAGUGGCUUCCUGGAACACCUGUGGGUAAUCUCAAGCCCACUCUUUCUCUGGAGAGGAGUUAUGAGCAGCCAGUCUGCCCAUCACUCAUGAUUCCACCAGGAUGGCUGGCUGACUCCACUUUCGGUUUGCCAUUACUUGCCCAAAUGCCACCACAUUAGACAAAUUGACAAACUGCUACAUUUAAAGUCAGAAAAUGAAAGUCUCCAACUGCAUAUAAAAUCUGUAGAUUGGAAAAAUUGUCGGAUUGUUUAAAAUACAAAUGGAAGCUACAUAACCAUUAUUCUCAG